AUUGAACGCUGGCGGCAGGCCUAACACAUGCAAGUCGAGCGGAUGAAGGGAGCUUGCUCCUGGAUUCAGCGGCGGACGGGUGAGUAAUGCCUAGGAAUCUGCCUGGUAGUGGGGGAUAACGUCCGGAAACGGGCGCUAAUACCGCAUACGUCCUGAGGGAGAAAGUGGGGGAGCUUCGGACCUCACGCUAUCAGAUGAGCCUAGGCCGGAUUAGCUAGUUGGUGGGGUAAAGGCCUACCAAGGCGACGAUCCGUAACUGGUCUGAGAGGAUGAUCAGUCACACUGGAACUUAGACACGGUCCAGACGCCUGCGGGAGGCAGCAGUGGGGAAUAGUGGACAAUGGGCGAAAGCCUGAUCCAGCCAUGCCGCGUGUGUGAAGAAGGUCUUCGGAUUGUAAAGCACUUUAAGUUGGGAGGAAGGGCAGUAAGUUAAGACCUUGCUGUUUUGACGUUACCAACAGAAUAAGCACCGGCUAACUUCGUG
rnacentral:rRNA from 1 species